GCGAACGGGAUUAGAUACCCUGGUAGUCCACGCUGUAAACGAUGUCGAUUUGGAGGUUGUGCCCUUGAGGCGUGGCUUCCGGAGCUAACGCGUUAAAUCGACCGCCUGGGGAGUACGGCCGCAAGGUUAAAACUCAAAUGAAUUGACGGGGGCCCGCACAAGCGGUGGAGCAUGUGGUUUAAUUCGAUGCAACGCGAAGAACCUUACCUACUCUUGACAUCCAGAGAACUUUCCAGAGAUGGAUUGGUGCCUUCGGGAACUCUGAGACAGGUGCUGCAUGGCUGUCGUCAGCUCGUGUUGUGAAAUGUUGGGUUAAGUCCCGCAACGAGCGCAACCCUUAUCCUUUGUUGCCAGCGGUUCGGCCGGGAACUCAAAGGAGACUGCCAGUGAUAAACUGGAGGAAGGUGGGGAUGACGUCAAGUCAUCAUGGCCCUUACGAGUAGGGCUACACACGUGCUACAAUGGCAUAUACAAAGAGAAGCGACCUCGCGAGAGCAAGCGGACCUCAUAAAGUAUGUCGUAGUCCGGAUUGGAGUCUGCAACUCGACUCCAUGAAGUCGGAAUCGCUAGUAAUCGUAGAUCAGAAUGCUACGGUGAAUACGUUCCCGGGCCUUGUACACACCGCCCGUCACACCAUGGGAGUGGGUUGCAAAAGAAGUAGGUAGCUUAACCUUCGGGAGGGCGCUUACCACUUUGUGAU
rnacentral:rRNA from 1 species